GUACACGCUGUGACUAGCAUAUCAAUAAGCGGAGGAAAAGAAACUAACAAGGAUUCCCCUAGUAACGGCGAGUGAAGCGGGAAGAGCUCAAAUUUGAAAUCUUAAAGGGUUUCCCUUUACGAAUUGUAGUUUAAAGAAGUGUUUUCUGUUGAGGUUUUGGUAAAAGUUCCUUGGAAUAGGACAUCAUAGAGGGUGAGAAUCCCGUAUUUGACCUUUACUUUCAACUUUGUGAUACACUUUCAAAGAGUCGGAUUGUUUGGGAAUGCAGUCCAAAAUGGGUGGUAAAUUUCAUCUAAAGCUAAAUAUUGGCGAGAGACCGAUAGCGAACAAGUACCGUGAGGGAAAGAUGAAAAGAACUUUGAAAAGAGAGUUAAACAGUACGUGAAAUUGUCAAAAGGGAAGCGUUUGACACCAGUGUUAUUUUUCUGAAAAUCAAUUAAAGAACUGUUUAUGCUAAGUUGUUUAGACUUUAUCAGCUAACUGUUUAGUUUUGAGCUUUUCUUUAAUGCACUUUUCAGUUAACAAGUCAACAUCAAUUUCUUUUGCUGUAAAAAAGCUUGAGGAAGGUGGCUUGAGAUUCGUCUUAAGUGUUUAUAGCCUCUUGCCUAUGCAGUCGGAGAGAUUGAGGUCUGCAGCGUAGAUCCUUCGGGGCUAAAUGCAUUUGUGCUAAGUUAUAGCAUUUCAUAGACAACUUGUUGACUAUGAUUUGUCUUGUAGCUUACUCGCUUAUGUUAUUUUACCUACGCUUAGGAUGUGACAGCAGUAUAGACUGU
rnacentral:rRNA from 1 species